rnacentral:rRNA from 1 species
GACGAACGCUGGCGGCGUGCUUAACACAUGCAAGUCGAACGGAAAGGCCCUGCUUUUGUGGGGCGCUCGAGUGGCGAACGGGUGAGUAACACGUGAGUAACCUGCCCUUGACUUUGGGAUAACUUCAGGAAACUGGGGCUAAUACCGGAUAGGAGCUCCUGCUGCAUGGUGGGGGUUGGAAAGUUUCGGCGGUUGGGGAUGGACUCGCGGCUUAUCAGCUUGUUGGUGGGGUAGUGGCUUACCAAGGCUUUGACGGGUAGCCGGCCUGAGAGGGUGACCGGCCACAUUGGGACUGAGAUACGGCCCAGACUCCUACGGGAGGCAGCAGUGGGGAAUAUUGCACAAUGGGCGGAAGCCUGAUGCAGCAACGCCGCGUGCGGGAUGACGGACUUCGGGUUGUAAACCGCUUUCGCCUGUGACGAAGCGUGAGUGACGGUAAUGGGUAAAGAAGCACCGGCUAACUACGUG